GUCUACUGAAAGAUGGGAUUUGGGUAUUGGUGUACUCAAUAAUCGUUUAUAUGCGAAUACUGAAUAACACAGCAAUACGCCAAUAGGUACAUAAUAAUAAUAUUGAAAUGUAAUUAAAAUUCGGAACAUAUCAAUUUAACUAGGCGAGUGUAUGUUGAAUUGAAUUAAAAAUAUAAAACAAUAAAACGUGGAAAUAUACAACCUUUAUAGUAUUGAACACGAUUAUUUGUGCAUGCUUAAUUCAGUGUAAGAGUACUACUAGGCAGUAAGUAUUAACGUAAGUACCUAAGUCUCUACCUGCACAGUCACUCAGAACGAGUAACGACAGAACACAGAACACUCAGUGUUUACUAUUAAAUUAAUGUAUAGAUAGAUUAUACCUAAACU